rnacentral:rRNA from 1 species
AGGUCCCAAGGGUUGGGCUGUUCGCCCAUUAAAGCGGUACGCGAGCUGGGUUCAGAACGUCGCGAGACAGUUCGGUCCUAAUCUGCUGUGGGCGUUGAAACUUGAGGGAAAUUCUUCCUAGUACGAGAGGACCGGAAGGAACAAGCCUCUAGUGUACCAGUUGUGCUGCCAAGGGCAUCGCUGGGUAGCUAUGCGUGUUUAGAUAACCGCUGAAAGCAUCUAAGCGGGAAGCUAUACCCAAGAUUAGGUUUCGUUAUGAGAUUCCCCGUAGACUACGGGGUUGAUAGGCUACUGGUGUAAGUUCUGCAAAGAAUUCAGCCUGGUAGUACUAAUAUAAUCCA